rnacentral:snRNA from 1 species
AUCUUUGCGCUUGGGGCAAUGACGCAGCUAGUGAGGUUAUGCCGAGGCGCGUCAAUUGCUGGUUGAAAACUAUUUCCAAACCCCCUCCUCGGCCUUGGUUUUGCCAGGCCCGUCGAGAAUUUCUGGAAAGGCUCCCUCUAAACAAGGGGUAAAGCC